GACUCCGUAGCUCAGCUGGUAGAGCAAAUGACUCUUAAUCAUUGGGUCGAGGGUUCGAUCCCCUCCGGGGUCA
rnacentral:tRNA from 1 species